GUAGGUGAACCUGCGGAAGGAUCAUUACAGAUCGGGAGGUUUGGUGGGGAAUUGGUGGGAUUGGGGCGGCGUGGAUGGGUGGUCGGUUUGACUGUGUGUUCAGGUGCCCCUUUUUCGUAUACCCUUUCCCCUCUCCCACAUAAGUUCGGAGUCGCAAGGCUUCCGUAACACAUUCACGCUUGAUUUGUUUGUCAGAGUAAGAUACACACAAGAGUAUACUAGACAACUUUUAACAAUGGAUCUCUUGGCUCUU
rnacentral:misc_RNA from 1 species